rnacentral:rRNA from 1 species
GUCCACGCCGUAAACUAUCAAUACUCGUUUUCGGGGACUUCGGUCUUCGGAGACUAAGCGAAAGUGAUAAGUAUUGCACCUGGGGAGUACGAUCGCAAGGUUGAAACUCAAAGGAAUUGACGGGGGCCCCGCACAAGCGGUGGAGCAUGUGGUUUAAUUCGAUGAUACGCGAGGAACCUUACCAGGGCUUAAAUGUAGAACGCAUAUAUUGGAAACAGUAUAGUCUUCGGACGGUCUACAAGGUGCUGCAUGGCUGUCGU